UGAGGAAUUUUGGUCAAUGGACGCAAGUCUGAACCAGCCAUGUCGCGUGAAGGAGGACGGCCCUAAGGGUUGUAAACUUCUUUUGCAGUGGAAUAAAGUUUGCCACGUGUUGGCGAUUUGCAAGUACGCUGCGAAUAAGGAUCGGCUAACUCCGUGCCAGCAGCCGCGGUAAUACGGAGGAUCCAGGCGUUAUCCGGAUUUAUUGGGUUUAAAGGGUGCGCAGGCGGGGAAUUAGGUCGGCGGUGAAAUUUCGGGGCUCAACCUCGACAGUGCCGUUGAAACCGUUUCUCUUGAGUGCGGAUGAGGUAGGCGGAAUUUGUGGUGUAGCGGUGAAAUGCGUAGAUAUCACAAGGAACACCGAUUGCGGAGGCAGCUUACUAAACCGUUACUGACGCUCAUGCACGAAGGCGUGGGGAUCAAACAGG
rnacentral:rRNA from 1 species